rnacentral:siRNA from 1 species
UAAUAUAUGGUCUGCUAGAGGACG